CUUUAGCAUACAUUUAGCUCACCUAGUUUGACACCAACCUGAUUCUUGGACCUGGGCAUAUUUUCUAGGUGAAGUUUGCUAAGCCCACACAUGGGUAGAGCCUUCUGCAACAACAUACAGCCGCAUGUACCAAUAUAACAUAAGGUUUGAGGCACCUAUGGAUCUAAAGAAAGAGUGGGAAAGAUUAAUAUUUGAACAAAAGUAUGGGGAAGCAUUUACUUCAGCCCAUGAAUUGUUGGAUGUUUAUUUGGUUUUUAGAUAAUGUAGAUUUUGCUUAGUUUUUCAGAGUUUAUAAUUGAGAAGAUGAGCAUGUGCUCUUGAAGAAGCUAUUCGUUGGGGUACUGAUUAUCUUCUCAAAGCUACUGCUCAUCCAAACACCAUAUAUAUGCAGGUUUCUUUUUCUUUUUCUCUAA